CGCCCCGUAGCUCAGUUGGAAAGAGCGCCGCCGUCCGACGGCGGAGGGCCCGCGUUCGAUUCGCGGAGGGGUGACCA
rnacentral:tRNA from 1 species